rnacentral:lncRNA from 1 species
UUUUGAGAUCAUCUUUCUUGGAUUUCUUUCUUUCAACGAUUACUCCAAUGGCCAAACAAAACCUAAAGAUUUCUCAGCUUUCUGCUGCAAUUCUGUUUAUCUGCUUCUUCAUUUGCCAACUUUCACCAGCCACCUGCAGAACCCUCAAGGGAGCCUUUCCGGGAGAAGAAAACAUCAUAAAUUCAGACAAGAACAUCGGACGGGGCGCCCCGAUCGCCAGCAACGGUACAAAAGAGAUAGAGAAAACGAGUACAGAAUUUCAUGCAACAAGGAAGAAUGGAGAAGCUGCAUAUGGACCAUUGCUUAUGGCUAUGCUUCCCAAAGGAAAUGUGCCAGCCUCGGGACCGAGCAAAAAAAUCAACAAAAUCAACAAUUAGCAAAAUUGAGAUAAGGGUGCGUUUGGAUCCAUGCAUGUUUUGAAUCUCUAUUUGUUUAUUCUUCAUAAAGAAAUGUAUAUAUAAUAGAUUACUGAGGUAUGAGGGAUAAUUCGGAGCUGAUCAAGUUUCUUGUUUAGUUAUUUGAAACGAGCACGUUUGGCUUAGGAAAAGAAAAGAAGCAAAAGUACUUAUAAGUAAAAUUUUAUAAGCUAGCCAACAUAUGUGAGAACAUGGAUUUAUGAGUAAUUUUUACAUUUUUG